CAGGGAUCGAACCCGGGUCUCCUACAUUGGCAGGCAGAUUUUUUUCCUUUUCCCACAUAGUCACCAGGGAAGCCAGAGAAGUCAUUUAGCAGAGAGCUGUAGCAUUGAAGGCCACACAGAUUAGUUUAGCCAAAAAGUUUGUUUGGGUUUCCCUAUAAAAGGAUACAGAAAAACCUGAAUGAACUUUUUAACCAACCUGAUAUUUGUUUCUAAUUAUAGGAUGAAACAAAUAAAGCUUAAACUUAACCAUUUUAGCAGUUUCACAUUCAGACCGUAUCACUGUUUCAUUUUAGUUUGAGUAACGUGCUGGUGGAUAUGGCAAAGUAAUUGUAGUAAUCAGAAUUGUGGGUUUUUUAAAAAAGAGAAUUGUGCAUUUUUAAGAGUAAGAUAGACACAGAUUAGUCUGAGAGGGUUUCAUUGGAAAGUAAAGGGAUGGACUGUUUACAGACCGUUUGGAGAUUGUGUGUCUGUGAGCUUUUGCUGUGUAACAGGCCUCCUAAUUCUAGCAGCCGGGAAAAGCAAGCCUGAAGUCUCACGGUUCCGUGGGUCACCGGGGUGACUCUUCUGGUUGGAUGGAGCUAGCCAGUGGGUCUCUGAAGUCAGCUGGCAGCCUGGCUGGGGCCACCUGGCCUGGGGUGGCCUCCGAGCCUGUGGGGGCCAUCGUCGGGCUGACUGUGGUGGGGCUUCAGUGCAGAUGGCAAGUCUGUGCCCCACGUGGUCUUACCCUCAGAAGGUUAGGUGGGCAUCCAGGGGUGCCCUCGGCUCUCAGCAUGCGCUGCUGGAGUGGAGGAGACCUGAGCCGGCUGCCCAGGGGCACAGUUUUCAGAGCCGAGUUUACAGGCCCUGGCUUCUCUGCAGCACGUCACGAUUAUUUGGAGCCCCUUUCAGCCUUUUAUUCUUUGAAGCUUUGAACUGUCAAAGCAGGAAGCCUCUUACCCUCCCUCAGUAACGUCCCAGUCGGGGGCUGUGUGUGUAAAGGCGGCAGUUUACUGGGAGCCUGGGCCCGGCGGGCGCCAGUGGCCGGAGUCCUUGCUGCCCCUUGAUCUCACACCGCCGCCUCUGUUUUACGGGGCGGGCGGGGAAGUGGACUCAUACAGGUCAGCUGACAUGCCCCAGGUCAGAGUGGUGCCCAAGGUCAAGCAGCCGGGUUAGGAGCUGCCUUUUGAACUCAGAUCUUUCUGACUUUCUC
ensembl:lncRNA